rnacentral:rRNA from 1 species
CCAGACUCCUACGGGAGGCAGCAGUGAGGAAUAUUGGUCAAUGGGCUUACGCCUGAACCAGCCAAGUCGCGUGAGGGAAGACUGCCCUAUGGGUUGUAAACCUCUUUUGUCAGGGAGCAACGCCGGCUACGUGUAGCCGGACUGAGAGUACCUGAAGAAAAAGCAUCGGCUAACUCCGUGCCAGCAGCCGCGGUAAUACGGAGGAUCCGAGCGUUAUCCGGAUUUAUUGGGUUUAAAGGGAGCGUAGAUGGGUUGUUAAGUCAGUUGUGAAAGUUUGCGGCUCAACCGUAAAAUUGCAAUUGAUACUGGCAGCCUUGAGUACAGUUGAGGUAGGCGGAAUUCGUGGUGUAGCGGUGAAAUGCUUAGAUAUCACGAAGAACUCCGAUUGCGAAGGCAGCCUACUAAACUGCCACUGACAUUGAUGCUCGAAAGUGUGGGUAUCAAACAGGAUUAGAUACCCGCGUA